GCAAGUCUGGUGCCAGCAGCCGCGGUAAUUCCAGCUCCAAUAGCGUAUAUUUAAGUUGUUGCAGUUAAAAAGCUCGUAGUUGAACCUUGGGCCUGGCUGGCCGGUCCGCCUCACCGCGUGCACUGGUCCGGCCGGGCCUUUCCUCCUGGGGAGCCGCAUGCCCUUCACUGGGUGUGUCGGGGAACCAGGACUUUUACUUUGAAAAAAUUAGAGUGUUCAAAGCAGGCCUAUGCUCGAAUACAUUAGCAUGGAAUAAUAGAAUAGGACGUGUGGUUCUAUUUUGUUGGUUUCUAGGACCGCCGUAAUGAUUAAUAGGGAUAGUCGGGGGCAUCAGUAUUCAAUUGUCAGAGGUGAAAUUCUUGGAUUUAUUGAAGACUAACUACUGCGAAAGCAUUUGCCA
rnacentral:rRNA from 1 species